AAGGGAGACCUAAUUCGGGUAUAAGACGAAAAAAGAGUAGUCGAAACCAAGAAUCAAUCCCAAAAGGUCGGAACGAGGUAUGUGGCUUUCAAACUAGGUUCUGGGUUCACACAAGACCUGAAUCAGGAACAAGGGCUAUUAGCUCAGGUGGUUAGAGCGCACCCCUGAUAAGGGUGAGGUCCCUGGUUCGAGUCCAGGAUGGCCCACCUGCACAGGUGGCAAAAACAAAGAAGCGAGGAAUCAGCACCUUAUCUUAUCUAUAUAUAAGAGAGAAUGCUGGCUCUGAGUAAAGAGUCCAGAGGGACCUUGAAAACUGCAUAGAGCUAGGUGAAAAAGCCAAAAAAGAAGACCGCAA
rnacentral:tRNA from 1 species